AUUGAACGCUGGCGGCAGGCCUAACACAUGCAAGUCGAGCGAGAGGCGGACGGGCGAGUAAUGUCUGGGAACCUGCCUGAUGGAGGGGGAAAACUACUGGAAACGGUAGAUAAUACCGCAUACGAUCAGAUGUGCCCAGAUGGGAUUAGCUAGUAGGUGGGGUAAAGGCUCACCUAGGCGACGAUCCCUACCUGGUCUGAGAGGGUGACCAGCCACACUGGAACUGAGACACGGGCCAGACUCCUACGGGAGGCAGCAGUGGGGAAUAUUGCACAAUGGGCGCAAGCCUGAUCGAGCCAUGCCGCGUGAGUGAAGAAGGCCUUCGGGUUGUAAAGCACUGUUAGCGGGGAAGCGUUACUCGCAGAAGAAGCACCGGCUAACUCCGUGCCAGCAGCCGCGGUAAUAC
rnacentral:rRNA from 1 species